rnacentral:rRNA from 1 species
GAAUAUUGCGCAAUGGGGGAAACCCUGACGCAGCGACGCCGCGUGGAGGAUGAAGCCCUUCGGGGUGUAAACUCCUUUCGACGGGGACGAAUGAGCGGUUGUUGAAACCGCCUUGACGGUACCCGUAUAAGAAGCCCAGGCUAACUACGUGCCAGCAGCCGCGGUAAUACGUAGGGGGCAAGCGUUGCUCGGAAUUACUGGGCGUAAAGGGUUCGUAGGCGGUUGGGCAAGUCGGCGGUGAAAUCUCUCGGCUUAACCGAGAGGGGUCCGCCGAAACUACCUGACUCGAGGGCCGGAGAGGGGAGUGGAAUACCUGGUGUAGCGGUGAAAUGCGUAGAGAUCAGGUGGAACACCGGAGGCGAAGGCGGCUCCCUGGACGGUACCUGACGCUGAGGAACGAAAGCUGGGGGAGCAAACAGG